AGCAUGGUUCAGGCUCUCUGGACAUCAAAAGGUCCAGAUCUAGAGUUUAGCACUCAGUGAGACACUAUACUCAUCUAUACAAGCCAUAAAAGGGUACAGAAAACCUUAAAUUCAAUGCUCUUAAGCAAAAUAGAAGGAUAGGAUCGAAUAGCUACCUCAAACUUGAAGAUCCAAGCUGGAAACCCACUGAAGUGCAAUCCUCCUAACCUCCCCUAGCUGGAAACACCUUUUCCUUGCAAAAAUCACACCAAACAUGAUCAAAAAUGCUCAAACUCUCUCACAAUCUCUAGGGUCUUUCUCUCUGGACUGGUAGCCGCAAAUGGAGGCCAUAAAGGCCUUUAAAUAGGGCACAAACCCCGAGAAUUAGGGUUUCAAUCCACAGCGCAAACUCAUCGAGUUCUCCCUUCUCUACUCGUCGAGUCCAUUCAUUAAUCCAGUCAGCAUUCACGGUCCUACUCGACGAGUCUACGACUCAACUCGUCGAGUCCCUCUCUAUUUCUCAAAAAAAUAAAUGAUAAAAAUAUAAUACCCGGGAAUUUGGGUUUUUACAAUUCUGCCCCACUAGAAUCAGACUUCGCCCUCGAAGUCUUACUCCGUAAACAACUCUGGAUGCUGCUCACGCAUCUCUAAUUCCGGCUCCCAAGUUCACUCGGACCAUCUCCAACGUGGCCACUGAACCUGCACCAGGGGCACCUCCUUGUUCCUCAGAACCUUGAUCCUCCGAUCCACAAUCGUAACUAGCUUCUCAACAUAAUUCAGGCUGGCAUCCACCUGAAUAUCCUCUAAUGGUACCACCGCUGACUCGUUGGCUAUACACUUCCUCAACUGAGAUACGUGGAAGGUAUCAUUGAUCUGGCUCAAAUCCGCAGGUAGCUCCAGACGAUAUGCUACCUUGCCUACCCUCGCAGUCACCCUGAACAUAACGAUGUACUGGGGCCCCAGCUUGCCCCCCUUCCUAAAUUGGAUCACUCCUUUCCAAGGAGAUACCUUCAGGAGUACGAAAUCCCCCACCUAGAAAUCGAGCUCGGAUCGUCGCCUAUCUGCGUAACUCUUCUGGCGACUCUGAGCUGUCAACAACCUCUGUCUGACCUGUUGGAUCUUCUCAGUCAUCUGAAGCACUAACUCUGUGCUGCACAUCACUCGCUGCCCGACCUCUCCCCAGCAUAUGGGAGUUCGACACCUCCUCCCGUACAACAACUCAAAGGGAGGCAUGCUGAUACUUGAAUCGUGGUUGUUGUUAUAAGAAAACUUAGCCAACAGCAAAGACGUGUCCCAACAUCCUCUGAAUUCCAUCACACAUGCUCGUAGCAUAUCUUCGAGCGUCUGAAUCGUCUGCUCACUCUGACCGUCCGUCUAUGGGUGGUAUGCGGUACCAAAGUGCAGCCUCAUACCCAAUUCCUUACGGAAUUUCUUCCAGAAUCUGGAAGUGAAACGUACAUCUCGAUCUGACACGAUCGACCUCGGUGCUCCAUGCCGCGAUACCACCUCUCUCACAUAUAUCAUUGCCAGCCUCUCAGCAGAAGAGCUCUCAUUGAUAGCAAGAAAGUGAGCGCUCUUCGUCAACCAGUCAACAAUCACCCAAAUUGCACCGACACCCCUCGCAGUCCUUGGCAAUUUGGUGAUAAAAUCCAUGGUAAUAUGUUCCCACAUCCACUCGGGAACCUCAUGUGGCUGCAACUUGCCAUGCGGACGCUAAUGCUCGGCCUUCACCCUGCGACAGGUCAAGCACCUCUCUACGAACCAUGCGACAUCCCUCUUCAUACAGGGCCACCAAUACUCCCUCUUUAGGUCCAAGUGAAUCUUAGUGGCCCCGGGAUGGAUCGAGAACCUCGACCUAUGCGCCUUAAGAUCAACAGUCACCGGGGUGAAUCGCUGAGUCACCAGGGUGACUCACCGAGUUCUUACGAUUUACGAUCGAACCCUUAAGACUACUCGCUGGGUUACCUUCUAAUAACACAACGUAUACACAUGCAUUCAUAACUUGGGGAAAACACAUCCGACUCGCCGAGUUGUUCUUCAACUAGUCCAGUUUAUGUCAAUCUUCAUCGGACUUGCCGAGUUGAUCAUCCAACUCGUCGGGUCUACGGCUAUCUUUAUAGGACUCACCGAGUCAACCUUGCGACUCGCUGAGUUCAUGUUGUCCCCAUUUUCAACAGACUUGAUUUGAGCCAUGCAGCGGCUCCAAAUCACAGAUCCAAGUUUCUAGGGCAUGCUUAUCACGUAAAGUUGCAAAGUUUAGGUGCAUGCAUGGCUAUAAAGGCUCUAAAUGCUUAUUGUAAGUUCUUCAAGGAGCUUCAUGCUCAAAAGGGACCUCAAUCAUGACCAAGACUACAACUUUAUGCUUUUAGAAUCCAAGGAGAGUCUAGAUCUGAAGUUACAACUUCAGAUCUAGCCCAUAGCUCAAGUCAUUAACUUAACAUUCCAUAAAAGAAACCGUAGAACUCGACCAGAAGAAGAGAUCCACAAGUAAAUGGCGAUUUGGGUACCUCAAGAAGAUGAUAACUGAGAUAAGUGUUGAUUCCCACACUCCACUUGCUCCAAUCCCCUUCUCCUCCAAGCCUUCUCCCUCCAAAGAUCAUAUUUUCAAGCUUCAACAUACAAAGGGAACACACACAUAUUAGGGUCUCACAAGAGCUCUCUAGAACUGUAAAGAGGCCCAAAGGGGGCAGAGGCUCCUUUAAAUAGGGUGCAAAACCCCUAGAAUUAGGUUUUCAUCUGCCAGCACCUACUCGCCGAGUCCUAGUAUGGACUCGUCGAGUAGGUCAUUUAUCACGCGAUCCAACCCUGUUGCUACUCGACGAGUAGGGCGACAAACUCGUCGAGUAGGCCUUAACCCAAGAAAUCUUAUGUAAACCAUACUUGAGAAUCGAGGCGUUACAACUCUCCACCACUUAUUUUAGACUUCGUCCUCGAAGUCUGUUGCAGAUGAAACUGAAAACAAUUCUGGAUAGUGUUCUCUUAUCUCUUCUUCAGUCUCCCACGUCCACUCGGACCCCUUUCGGUGCUGCCACUGCACCUUCACCAACUGAACCACCUUGUUCCUCAAGGUCUUCGUCUUCUGAUCCAAGAUCACAACUGGUCUCUCAAUAUAAUUCAGGCUACUGUCAACCUGAAUAUCCUCUAACGGUACAACCGCUAACUCGUCCACCAAACACUUCCUCAGCUGAGAAACAUGGAAAGUGUUGUGGAUCUGGCUAAGCUAUGCCGGAAGAUCCAACCGAUAAGCCACCUAACCCACUCGAGUCGUAACCCUAAAAGCACUAAUGAACCUGGGGCCCAGCUUGCCCCUCUUCUGAAACCUAAUAACACCCUUCCAGGGUGAUACCUUUAGGAGGACCAUAUUGCCCACCUGAAACUCUAGGUCUGAACGCCUCCUGUCGGCGUAACUCUUCUGCGUACUCUUCACAGUCUGCAGUCUGCUAUGAACCUGCUGAAUCAGCUCUGUGGUCUUGAGCACCACCUAAGUGCUCCCAAUGACUCGCUGACCGACCUCGCCCCAACAGAUCGGGGUCCUACACUUCCUUCCAUAUAACAUCUCGAAAGGAGGAUGGUCAAUCCUAGAGUGGUAACUGUUGUUAUACGAAAAUUCCGUUAGUGGAAGAUACAUAUCCCAACUACCACCAAAAUCUAAAACACAUGCCCGGAGCAUGUCCUUGAGAGUCUGAAUCUUGAUUUGCCUGUCUGUCUGAGGGUGGAAAGUGGUGCUGAAAUGAAGACGGGUCCCCAUCUCGUCUUCAAACCGCUUCCAAAAUCUGGAAGUAAAACGGACGUCUCGGUCUGACACUACCGAAACAGGCACUCCGCCCCGUGCUACUACCUCGCGCACAUAGGUGUCGGCUAGCUUCUCAGCCAAUAUGCUUUCCUGGAUCGGUAUAAAGUCAGCACUAUUGGUCAGCCGAUCCACUAUGACCCAAAUCGAAUCCACUCCCCGCGCGGUCCUGGGAAGCUUAGUGAUAAAAUCCAUGGUAAUGUCCUCCCAUUUCCAUACGGGAAUGUCUAACGGCUGAUUCUUCAUGUGGGGUCUCUAGUGCUCUGCCUUGACCUUCCUGUAGGUUAGGCAUCUCUCCACAUACCAGGCGACAUCCCACUUAAUGCAGGGCCACCAAUAGUUGGGUUGAAGAUCCAUGUACAUCUUCGUUGCCCCUGGGUGGAUGGAAAAUCGAGACUUAUGGGCAUCGUCCAUCAACUCCUGUCAUACUCCGCCCUAGUACGGUACCCAAACUCUCCCAUGAAGGGUCAACAAUCCUAGGUUGUCAUAAUCAAAAGAAGCUACUCGGCCCAAGAUCCUUUCACACUUCUGCGUCUCCUCCUUGAGGCCCUCAACCUGUGCCUCCCAGAUCCGCUCCAACAACGGAGUGAUCACUGUCAUCCUCAAACAUAUAUCCCUGAUCGGGGUCACUGCCAUCUUGCGGCUCAAGGCGUCGGCCACUACGUUGGCCUUCCCCGGGUGAUAAAGGAUCUCAGAAUCGUAAUCCUUCACCACAUCUAACCACCAACGCUACCUCAUGUUAAGGUUCGGCUGGUCCAUGAGGUAUCUCAGACUCAUGUGAUCCGUGUAGAUGGUAUAACGGACCCCAUGGAGGUAGUGUCUCCAAAUCUUGAGGGCGAACACCACUGCCCCCAACUCCAAAUCGUGCGUCGGAUAGUUAGCCUCGUGAGGCUUCAACUGUCUAGAGGCGUAAGCUAUCACACGCCCCCGCUGCAUCAACACUGCUCCCAAACAUGUGAUCAAGGCAUCACAGUAGACUAAACAAUCAUCCACUACCUCUGGCAGGGUAAGAAUCAAUGCCUUGCACAAUCACUAUCUUAGGGUCUCAAAUGCUGCCUGCUGCUCAGGCCCCCAAUGAAACACCACCGACUUCUUGGUCAGUCGGGUGAGUGGUAUUGCUAUCUUGGAGAAAUAUUGGAUGAAUCUCCUGUAGUACCCUGCCAAACCUAGGAAGCUCUAAAUCUCAGAUGGAGACCUCGGGACCUCCCACUGCAUCAUGACCUCGAUCUUGGUCGGAUCCACUAGAAUACCCUUCUGGUUGACGAGGUGACCAAGGAAUUGAACCUCACGCAACCAUAACUCAUACUUGGAGAACUUCGCAAAAAGUCUCUCCCUUCUUAGUGUCCCUAGCACCUCUCUCAGAUGCUCUUCGUGUUGCUCCUGAGUCUUGGAGUAAACCAAGAUGUCGUCAAUGAAUACUAGAUCGAUCUAGCAUCGGUUUGCAUACGCGGUUCAUGAGGUCUAAGAAUGCGGCAGGAGAGUUGGUGAGCCCAAAAGGCAGCACCACAAACUCAUAAUGACCAUAAUGGGUCCUAAAAGCUGUCUUCUGAACAUCCUCAUCCCUGAACCGCAUCGGGUGAUAACCAGAGUGCAGAUCAAUCUUGGAGAACCAAGAUGCUCCCUGAAGCUGAUCGAACAAGUCAUCUAUCCUCGGGAGCGGGUAACGGUUCUUCACCGUUACCUUAUUCAACUCCUGAUACUCGAUGCACAUACGGUGCGACCCAUCCUUCUUCUUCACAAACAGGAUCUGGGCUUUCCAGGGUGAACUAUUAGGUCUAAUGAAACCCUUGUCUAGCAGCUCUUGCAGUUGCGUAGACAACUCUUGCAUCUAUGGAGGAGCUAACCGAUACGGUGCCUUGGCUAUCGGAGCCGCACCAGGGACUAGGUUAAUCCUGAACUGAACCUCUCUCUCUCUGGAGGUAUCCCAGGAAAAUCCUUAGGGAAUACGUCCGGGUAGUCUCGCACUACCAGUAAAUCAUCGACUGUCAUGUUGCCCUUCUAAUGGGCAUCUAGAAUGUAGGCGACGAACCCUACGCAACCCUGAUAAAAGUAGUGCCUAGCCCUCGCUGCUGAGCAAAGGAUCGGUCGUGUUGUAGCCUCUCGUCCUGAAUCACUAACUCUCCCCCACUUGGGGUGCAUACCCUCACUAGCUGCAACUCACAGUCAAUCACCGCCCCAUUAGGGCUCAGCCAAUCCAUAUCCACUAUAACCCUAUUCCCUUGCAGAGGAAUAGGAACCAGAUCUACUAAAAAUUGCUCAUCGAAUAACUGAAGCGAACACCCGUUAUGCACUCUCGCGACCCUGACGGUCCUGUCAUCGACUAUCUCAACCUCAAGUGGACAAUCCAGCUCCCCCGGAGCUCUGCUAAACCUCUUGCUAAGCGCAAGCGAAACAAACGAUCGGGUAGCCAGUGAAUCAAACAAGACUGCAGCUGAUAUGCCGUUCACUAAGAACGACCCUAUAUAUAGAAACACAUAACUAUAAGAACAAUCAACAAUCAACAAUAAUAAAGAUAUGAAGGAAAAAUACAUACCCGUCACCAUAUCAAGAGUCGCUCGCGCCUCCUCUGCUGUCAUCUGAAAAGCUCUACUCUUCGCCACUGGUGCCUCACUUCGGCCCUGACGGACGUCUGUAAUCCUCAAUGUUGCAGGGGCAGGUGCUACCACCUUCCCUGCUGCUGCUGUUAAACUUGGACACUAGGACUUUUUAUGUCCCCUCUGAUUGCAAUGGAAGCAAAUCAGAUCAGAUGUUGCGGUAACGGUGGGAGUAGCUGUACAAUCUCUGCUCAUAUGCUCAGUCCGGCCUCACUUAUAGCAACCAGGACUCCUUGCCUUGCACGCCCCAUAGUGCAAUCUCCCAACUUGCCACACCGACUGUGGCUCUGCGUUCCUCUAGAUCUGUGAUCCGAUACCUUGGGCUUCUUUCCCGAACUCCCUGUACCCGAAGCCACCUCCGACUUCCUCUUUCUCUCCAUCUCAAGGUCAGUCUCUCUCUCACGAGCCCUAGCAAUCAUGUCAUCCAACGUUUUACAGCUGGACCGGCUCACAAACUGGCGGAUAUCACUCCGCAACAGCUCAUGAUAUCGGGCCUUCUUCAUUUCGUCAUCAGCUGUGUACUGAGGAACGAGAAGAGCCCUCCCCCUGAACUUGGCAGUAAUCUCCGCCACCGUCUCUAUAGUUUGAGUAAUAUCCUGAAACUCGUUGGCUAACUGUUGCACCUCAAUGACCGGUGCAAACUCGACUCUGAACCUGGUAGUAAAAUCAGCCCAAGUCAUAGCAUCAAGUGCUGCGUCAUCCCUGAUGACAUGCCCAAUCUCGUGCCAUGUCCUUCAGAAGGCGGGAUGCUAAUCUGACCUUGUCCCCCUCGGGACAUUUGCUGGUGCGUAACGCGUUGGCAACAUCUGCCAACCACCUAGUACUCGCAAUGGGGUCCCGCACCCCAUGGUAGUCUGGAGCUCCACAAGCCCAGAACUGCCUGAAGGUGAGUGUGUGCGACCCCAUCAUGGCCGCCAUCUCAGCACGGAACAUGCUCAACGUCUCAUCCAUCAACUCUAAAAUACCCUCCUUGAUCGAGCCAAAGAUUACAGGAGUCUGCUCAAGUAUGAUGCGGGUAACCUCUGAAGUGAAAAACUUCCUAGUCUGCUAAUCCAACUGCUCGGCCCCCGAGCCUGAUCCUGAUCCCUCCCCGGCACCUUAACUGCCGCCUGCUGGUCUAGGGCGUAAAACCACCAUUCUGAAAACACAUUACGAUAAACGUCAGAAACACUAAUAUAUCUCGAGGGAUCAUUACUACUACAAGUUUUCCAGUCUCAUCUCAGCCUUCCUUGAUUCAAGUACGGAUCCUCUGCUUCCAGUAGUAUGGGCCCCUACUAUCUUCCACAUCCAUCCGUACCUUCCUCGGGAACUGCCUUGACUCCACCAAGCCACUACUGCUGCUACUGAUCUCUGCUACUCUCAUCCUAGGCUUGCCCUAGGGAAAUCUCCUACUCAACCAAAACCAGUCCUCAGAUGCUGAAGGCCCCCUUGUAAUGCCAAUUAGUCUUCACCUGAAUACCACCACAUGUGACGAGGCUCAGAUAAUCCUUCGAGUAGAAGACUCGUUCCUACAACAGUUGGAAUCAAACAAGAGCUGCGUAGUAGGGCCAAAUCCAACACUCUGAGAUUAUGCAACCCUAAUCACAUGUGAUGUGACGUAUUCACCUAAUGGCUAACUCCUAUCACUUGGAGUCCCACAAAGCACCAAGCAUGCAACAUUCGGACAUAGGAACAUAUCAAGCAACUCUAUUCUGAUAGCAAGAAACUGUACUAGCUUACAAUGCUAGGCUCACAAUAUCAGGCAUAACCUAAUCAGGCUAUCCUAUUGCUGUCUACUCAAUACUAGCAUGCAAAUCUCAUAAGGAUGAACACAUAUAGAAGGCACAUAAGGCAUCUCCCUAGAUCCUUAGUCCUAUUCUAGCAUGCUGUUCUACUGUAAUGGAAACAUAUAAUCAUAAUGUAAACUUGGAUGGGUAAUCUGGGAGUACUUACUUGAGCUCGGCUGAUCGCAUGCACCACACCCUUUUCUCGUUUUCAAAACUCUUUUCUUUUUAAGUCUCUUUUUCAAAAAUUCUUUUGAAAACAUUUUUCUUUCAAAAAUAUUUUACUAUUUCCUUAGUUUGAGUUCAGUCAUACUCAUAAGUGUGCCUGAUCCCUCAAACCAAGGCUCUGAUACCAACUUGUAACGACCCAAAAUACGACCCAAAAUUUUUUGUUUAAAUAGUGCUAAAACUAACAACCAUCCAUAAUAUAUAAUAAAACUGUACGUCACAAAUCCCAAAAAGUUAUAGUAGAUUCGUCAUGACAAGAGAAAUGUAUCAACAUAUCACAGUAUCCAAAACAAACUCCCAGGAUAAAAGAAACUGAAGUUGUGGUGUGUGCGAUGCCAUCAACCCGAGCCCUUCACUUUGCUUGCGGAAGUACCUGAAACCAAAACUGAAAUUGUAAGCACGAUGCUUAGUGAGAUCCCCCAGACUACCACAUACCAUACAAUCAUAUAAACACAUAUUGGGCCUUGCCCACUGCAUCGGACCGAAGUCUGGAACUAACCAGGGCCUUGCCCUCUGCAUCGGACCGAAGUCCGGAAACUGUAGCGGACCAAAGUUCGGAACUGACUGGUACCUUGUCCCUUACAUCGGACCGAAGUCCGGAACUAACUGCAUCAGAUCGAAAUCCGGAAGUGACUGGGACCUUGUCCCCUGCAUCGGACCGAAGUCCGGAAACUGACUGAGAAUAACAUAGCAUAACAUAAACAUAUCAACUAGCAUAAACACACAUAUACUGCAUACUGCAUCAGACCAAAGUCCAGAACACAUAACACAAAGACAUCAAGCACACUGAACUAGUGCAUCAGACCAAAGUCCGGAACUACUACUAACUAGAUGGGCCGAUAUUGUGGCCGUAGACCCGUUCCUACUGGAAGGAAAACUCACCUCGUAACGCUGGAUACCGAGAUGUUAACUCUAACGCAGGAUGGCUGCUGCUCCGGAACAGUCCGGCUACAAAUCCCACAAAACACUAGGUCAGGUACUGAUAACUGAACUGAGGGUAUAAAAACCAUUUUACCCUUGAUUAAAGUCAAAGUCCAAAGUCAAGGUCAACAGUCCAUGUUGACCUUAACUCGCUGAGUACCCUGAAACUUCUUCCCACUCGCCGAGUCACCGGGGUUACUAGCCGAGUUCUUACGAUUUACGAUCAAACCCUUAAGACUACUCGUCAGGUUACCUUCUAACAACACAACGUAUACACAUGCAUUCAUAACUUGGGGAAAACUCAUCCGAAUCGCCUAGUUGUUCUUCAAUUCGUCGAGUUUAGGGAAAUCUUCAUCGGACUCACCGAGUUGAUCAUCCAACUCGUCGAGUCUACAGCUAUCUUCAUAGGACUCGCUGAGUCAGUCUUGCGACUCGCCUAGUUCAUGAUGUCCUCAUUUUUAACAUACUUGAUUUGAGCUAUGCAGCGGCUACAAAUCACAGAUCCAAGCUUCUAGGGCAUGCUUAUCAUGUAAAAUUACAAACUUUAUGUGCAUGCAUGGCUAUAAAGGCUCUAAGUGCUUAUUGUGAGUUCUUCAAGGAGCUUCAUGCUAAAAAGGGACCUCAAUCAUGACCAAGACUGCAACUUUAAGUUACAACUUCAGAUCUAGCCCAUAACUCAAGUCAUUAACUUAACAUUCCAUAAAAGAAUCCCUAGAACUCAACCAAUACAAGAGAUCCACAAGGAAAUGGCGAUUUGGGUACCUCAAAAAGAUGAUAACUGAGAUAAGUGUUGAUUCCCACACUCCACUUUCUCCAAUCCCCUUCUCCUCUAAGCCUUCUCCCUCCAAAGAUCAUCUUUUCAAGCUUCAACACACAAAGGGCACACACACGGAUUAGGGUCUCACAAGAGCUCUCUAGAACUGUAAAGAGGCCCAAAGGGGGCUGAGGCUCCUUUAAAUAGGGUGAAAAACCCGUAGAAUUAGGGUUUCAUCUGCCAGCACCUACUCGCCGAGUCCCAAUAUGGACUUGUCGAGUAGGUCAUUUAUCACACGAUCCAACCCUGCUGCUACUCGACGAGGAGGGCGGCAAACUCAUCGAGUAGGCCUUAACCCAAGAAAUCUUAUUUAAAUCAUACCUGAGAAUCGAGGCAUUACACCCGGUAAUUGAUACACAUCCGGUGCGAUCCAUCCUUUUUCUUGACAAAAAGGGUCGGCGCUCCCUACAACGAGCUACUCAGCUGAAUAAAUCCCUUCCCCAGCAGCACCUGAAGCUGUGAGGAUAACUCCUGCAUCUCUAGAGGUGCAAGGCGAUAGGGCGCCUUGGCGAUAGGUGCUGCCCCCGGAACCAAAUCGAUACGGAACUCUACCUGCCUCUCGGGGGGCACACCCGACAACUCCUCGGGCAAAACGUCUGCGAAAUCCUGCACUAUUGGAACCUCAUCGACCGACCUCGGCCUCUCUGCAUCUGUUGUCGUAUCCACCACAUAUGCCAUAAAUCCACAACAACCCUAUUGUAGGCUUUGCUUCGCUCUAGCGGCCAAAUGCAGUGAAAACAGACUACAAAUCCCUUGGGGAAAUCCUUGGCCAUAUGCCCCUCCUUGCCACACUUGUAGCAAGACCCUGCUCUACACACUCCCUCAUGACCCUUUCCGCACUUGCCACAAGUGAAGCCCUUCUGGUUCCAAUAUCUCGAAUCGGCGGGCUUGGCCGNCUGGGACUGAGCCGGUCACCGAUCCCUCCCCUGAGAGUCCGCCUCCUCCUUACCCUGAGUCUCCAGCUCUAUCUCCCUCUUCCGAGCAUUUACCUGAAGCUCGGAAAAUGUUCGGUAUGACGAGUUCACCACGAACUCUCGUAUGUCCCUCCUCAGAAUACUCAGAUACCGACUCAUAUGUGUCUGCUCGGUAGACACGUGCUCAGGGCAGAACAUCACCCUCUCGUGGAACAUCCUAGUAAUCUCAGUAACAGACUCAGUACCCUGCUUGAGGGUCAGAAACUCCUGAGCCAAACGUUCCCUCUCCACCGGGGGAACGUACUCAUCACGAAAGAUAGCGGUGAGCCUCUCCUAGGUUACUACGGCAAGCUCAGUAGACGAAAAAUGCGUCGUCACGAACUUCCACCAGUCCUUCGCUCCCAAGCGAAGCUGGUUCAUCGCGAACCGGAACCUCAAAUGCUCUAGACAUGAACAUGUAUAGAAGCAUCCCUCAAUAUCAGAAACCUAUCUUAUCUCAUCAAUCAGAUCCUGCGUCCCAUCAAACUCUGGUGACUUCGUGUUGCUGAACUUCCGGAACACCAACGAAUCGCCACCCUGAGGUCUGGCAGCAGCAACAGUUGCGGUAGCUGCAGCCUCAGUAACCGCUGCGUAUCUCUCAUCGAAAGUCUCAAUCAGUGUGGUCUUAAUAGACCCGAACAUCUCUUGAAUCUCUGCACGGAUAGCCGCAACCACCUCCUCAUGGAUCAUCUGGCGGAGCUCCUUAUCACUCACCCUGCUGGUCUCUGGUCUGUGGCGUGUCCUAACCACGAUGUCUCUGAAAUACAACAUAAAAUACCAGAGACUUUCUCGAGCAUACUUGCACUCAAUAACUCGACCCUACUCGUCCCCUGGUACCCCAAGGAUUCUUACUUGGGCUGCGCACUACUCCGGUAUAAAAACUCCAAUAGUGUGUACUGAUCAUGCCGACGCCUUCCCGCGAUCCUUACUGGUACCUGAAACACAUAACACAAAACAAUGUAAGCAUAAAUGCUUAGUGAGUUCCCCAAAAUACCAUACCACAUGUAACACAUAAUAGCCACUCAAGGCUAUAGCUCUGAGAGCCCUCUGGCUCUAACUCUGUGGACCCUAUGGUCCUAACUCUAUGGACCUUCCGGUCCUAACUCUGUAAACUCUGAUAUACACACAACAUAAUCACAUAAAAAUAAUGUUGUGCAACACAUCACAUAAAUAGCAUACAAGAUACUCUAUCGCAUAACUCUAAGUACCACUCAAGGUAAAGUAUAGUGAGAAGACUCACCUUGGGUAACUCGGUAAACCUCGAACUCAGGAAUACUGCACUAGCCUCCGCCUAAUCACAUAAAUAAUCACUCUAAUUAAUAUAACUUCUAAAGGCUAGGCUAACCCCUCUCUAUAAGUUCUCUAAGAAGGGUAAAAGACCAUUCUACCCCUAUUGGCUCAUAAGUCCAAACACUGACUAAACCCUAAAAGUCAACAAGAGUCAAACGGUCAAACUUUGACCUGACUGGUCGAGUGCACUCGUGUGACUUGGCGAGUACAUACAUGUCCUCUUCCCCCCUUGUCCUCACUCGACUCGCUGAGUCAACCCUACACUUAACGGUUUAUCACAGGUCGCGAAUCGUAGGGCAACCCGACUCGAAUCGUCGAGUCCUUUAUGGGCUCGGCAAGUUCCUCCCAUGAAAACACUCAUCUGACCUCCUCAGGUCAGAUCUGCUUCUCUAAUCUAUAGAUCUGACUUCCCGAUGACCAAUAAACAUGUAAAGGUCGAAUCUUGGUACACAUGCAAGGCUCUCUAGGCUUUUUUUGCUGAAAUCUCUUCUAACAUGGCAACCAAAGUCCAUUUCCUUAGAACCACAAAUAGCAGAAUGGUUCAGGCUCACUGGACCUCAAAAGGUCCAGAUCUAGAGUUUAGCACUCAGUGGGACACUAUACUCAUAUAUACAAGCCAUAAAAGGGUAUAAAAAACCCUAAAUUCAAUGCUCUUAAGCAAAAUAGAAGGAUAUGAUUGAAUAGCUACCUCAAACUUGAAGAUUCAAGCUGGAAACCCACUGAAAUGCAAUCCUCCUGAGCUCCCCUUGCUGGAAACACCUUUUCCUUGUAAAAAUGGCACCAAAUAUUAUCAAAAAUGCUCAAACUCUCUCACAACUCGCUCACAAUCGCUAGGGUCUUUGUCUCUGGACUGGUAGCCGCAAAUGGAGGCCAUAAAGGCCUUUAAACAGGGCACAAACCCCGAGA
rnacentral:lncRNA from 1 species